rnacentral:pre_miRNA from 1 species
AAAAAAACAAACUCUGAGUUUCCGUGUCCAACGUUUGACCAUCCGUCUUAUUUGAAAAAAUCAAAAAGACAAGUCACAUAUAAAGUAUUAAUCAUGUUUUACCACCUAACAACAAUAAAAAUACUAAUUAUAAAAAAAUUCAUAUAAGACGGAUAAUCAAAUGUUGGAUACGGAAACCCAGGUUUAUCUUUUUU